CCUGAACUCUUUGGCGGGCUUUAAAUGACUCCUGCAAUCUUACAAAGACUUUGGAAACAAUGGAGAACUGAAAUUUGGAUGAACUAAAUUAUGCAGUUGAUACAGGUUUUUAAGGAAUCCAUGGAGGCGAGGCGGGAAGUCCUAAGAAUCUUGUUUUAUUUGCAAUGUUUCUAAGAAUGUUAAUUGUGUGAUUGAUUUUGUAAAACCAAAUAAAAACUAUUUUUAAAAAACAAAAAAGCUUUGCUCCUGGUUCAGGGUCCCCAUUCUUGCCAAACUUGAUCCUUAACAGAUUGAUCUGGAUUCUUGCACAUGCCAUGAUGCAGUGAUACCAAUUUGCUAAAAAAAUAAAAAUGCUGCCUUCAUUCUUCUAAGUGCUAUGUGUCGGUGUCUCACCCUAGCCCCUCCCCAACCUUCUGUUGCCAAGGAAUUAAUUUCAAUUUUCUACUGUAAACCUCUUUUGUAAAUAAUUUAUCCUUGUAGUUUCUUGGAGGCCCUACCAAUUCGCUGACCUCUUGUGCCUUGUAGUUCUGGAUGUAAUUAGUUUUGACAAGCUUUCAGACUAGAGAUUAAAUAGAGCAUGCACGCUAGGAAACUGGGUAGUAGCAUUUCUUAGGAAAUAGUUCCAGACUUAAGAUCUCAAUUUCAAUUAUUAACUGUGUGAAAUCUUUCUCCCUCCCUCCCUCUCCCCUCCCCCAUCUCUCAGAGAAACAGUACAACCGCAUUUAUGGUAGACAUAAACUAUAAAUAUAGACCCAUCUUACAAGUGGCUCGGCAGCUGUCAUUCAUAAACCAGAGUAUUUCAACAACAAGCUGAUUUAGACCCACUGAAAUAAAGAAAAGUUCACCAGCUCCUUUAGUUAACAAGCACAGUACUCCAAUUGAUUUGAAGACUGUACUCUUAUGAUCAAAGCAGAGAUCCUUUGUGAUGUAGAGAAGAUUGGGAUGUUAACAUCACAAGAAUGUAUUAAGUCAUUUCCGCAUCAUCUUAACCACACUAUGACAUCACUAGCUUUUUUUGCUGCUGUUUCCAGGUGUAAGUACAGAACCGGGGUUGGGAGAGACUGGUAGCUUCCUGUAUAUAUGAAAUACAGGAUACAAUUUAAAAUGGCUGUUUGUGAAUUCAUAAAUAAAGAUCCCCAUAUCCUCUAUGAAGCAGCGGGUAGAAGAAACAAUGGCAGUGGCAGCUUUUUAAAAAGAGAGAGAACAUUCACAAACGUGAAGACUUUGUGUGGGAAAAUAUGUCUUUCCAAAUUCAAAAGAAUGAGUAUUUGGAACAUUGAUCGUUCUGCCUCUCUAUAGCUUUUCAUAUAGUCCCACAGAUUUCAAAUGUGUUUAAUGAAUCAGGAAUAGAGCUAAAUGAAAGAACCUUUUUUGACUGAGAGAUUAAAGAGAAAUUGCAAUUCGUUUUACAAAACAGCGAGAACAUCAAGGAGUACUCACAACAACUGCCAGUGCCUCUUGGGAUCAAAUAAUUUGGAAGUAUGAAGUGCCCAAAGAACAAGAGAGGAAGCAAUUUGCAGGAAGGAGUUUGCUACUUUGCAAGAAAUUUAUUAGAAUACCAGUUCUCAGGGGGAAAGACUUCUAAGAAUUCAGGGCAAUUAGACUGUGUUUUUGAAAAAUGUUUUGGACAGGGAAUAUAAUAAAAUAAUCCAGUAUUUGCCACUCA